UAGGGAAUCUUCGGCAAUGGACGAAAGUCUGACCGAGCAACGCCGCGUGAGUGAAGAAGGUUUUCGGAUCGUAAAACUCUGUUGUUAGAGAAGAACAAGGACGUUAGUAACUGAACGUCCCCUGACGGUAUCUAACCAGAAAGCCACGGCUAACUACGUGCCAGCAGCCGCGGUAAUACGUAGGUGGCAAGCGUUGUCCGGAUUUAUUGGGCGUAAAGCGAGCGCAGGCGGUUUCUUAAGUCUGAUGUGAAAGCCCCCGGCUCAACCGGGGAGGGUCAUUGGAAACUGGGAGACUUGAGUGCAGAAGAGGAGAGUGGAAUUCCAUGAGUAGCGGUGAAAUGCGUAGAUAUAUGGAGGAGCACCAGUGGCGAAGGAGACUCUCUGGUCUGUAACUGACGCUGAGGCUCGAAAGCGUGGGGAGCAAACAGG
rnacentral:rRNA from 1 species